rnacentral:lncRNA from 1 species
ACACAUGUUGUUGAUGGGCGGACUUUCUCUAUCAGGGAGGCUCAGCUGGAGCAACAGAGCAGCAUUUCUGGAGGAGGGCAUAUCAGUUUUGACACCUGUUUUCAGAAUCAUCCACAGAAGCUGCAAGAAGCAAGAGGAUUGGGCAAAGGUCAAGAGGCCAUUUGUCAAACAGCACAAGACAUGUAACAGGAUAUGCACACUACCCUGGCUAUCUCUGCAGACAGGAAGAGAGCUGCCAAGUAGGGCUGGAAAGAGACACUCGGCAGGUAGAUCUUGCCGUAACAAGGAGAAGAAACUCAUGGAUUUCACCUAAGACCAGAGAAGGGAACAUUCCCAAGAGACUUGGAGGUUCCAUCUCUCAAGCAACCUGAAAUUAGCAGGGAUUUCUCCUGCGGCUUUGCCAUGAUGUGGGGAAAAGGGAAGUGGUUUUGACGCAAGGGACAGAGGGAGUGUUGGCGGUGGCAGGGGGAGCAGGGGCAGCAGCUCACUUACGGGUUAAAACCACCCUGGAGAGGCCCAGCUCUCUGAAGUUCGACAUCAGAAUAUACAUUCGAGUAAGGGUGGUCAGUUAUUCAAUUUUUUGAGACUCACUUUCCUUGUCUUUAUACAUGAGGUUUAACAAAAUUGUCAAGAAGGUGACAGAAAACAGCAGAGGAAAAAGCUGCAGUAUAGUGGAUACUCCAUAAAUAUUGGUUCCCUUGGCUAUAUUCGUCCCCUCUUUUUCCCAAGUGUAGAGCAACAUGGAUUAAAAUUUAUUUUGUAUUUCUAGAUCUCCAGCAAAUGUAUUUAGAACUGUUCUAUUAAAUUUUCCUGGAAAAUAAAGCAUCCCUUGCAUUGAGGCUAUCUAGGUAAUCUAUUUAACAGCAUCUAAGUCUAGAAAUUCAGAAACGUCUAUAUGUGCGCCUCUCUCUGUAAUGUCCUGAUUCUUUUUUUUUUUCUCAUCCACUUGCCCAUCAGUGGUUCAGAUAUUCUCUCUAUAUUUGUGUUUGCAAAGUUCUAUUCCUGAAUGGAAUUUUCUCCCAGGAAUUCCCGACCGAGGCCAUCUGCUCUGCAGGCAGAAAGUGAAGCGACCGCAGCCUGAUGCAGCCAGGAAGGCAGAGGCUGAGAGGAGGGAGUGUGGCAUCAGAACAGAGUCCGCCGGGGCUCUGGCUUCCUCCUCCGGGAUCAAGGGAAAUGUGCGAAGCACAGUGCAGAAUCCCGGGCGGCUCAUGCCCACUCACUUGCUGGGGGAACAGAUAAAACACGAGUGAGGGGGAGAUUUUGUGGGCUGACACUCCCCAGAAAUGCUGUGUGCACAUGGGCGUGGUGAUUGAUACUUAGCGCUUUGAAGCAAACACCGUGAGACUACUCAGCAUUGGGAGAAGCUGUCCACGCGGACGCCCAGGAAGCAGCCCGGAGGAUAGGGUGCCCCAGCAGUACUGCAGAAUCCCAACUACUGACGAGAAUGAGUAAAAGAAUGCACAGAUUGGACAUGUAAAUAAACAGGUUAAAUACCCUGGCAGCUCUUGAAAACAAACCCCUUUUUCUGAAUCUGCUCAGAAACCUCCGUUCUCAUGGUCACUCGGCAACAUGCUGCGGAGAAGAAGACUCGGCCUCGGAACAGCCAUGCCCGGGUUCGAUCCCAGUCCUAGCUUGUGGCAGCCGGGUGACUGGGCAUGAUUCCUGGGCUUCAGUCCUAAUCUGUAAAACGUAGGGGCUGAAGGAGGAAGCGGGAUGGAGUGGAGACCAUUAGAAUUAAUGUAUGAGGCCAGGCGCAGUGGCUCACACCUGUAAUCCCAGCACUUUGGGAGGCCAAGACAGGCAGAUCAGGAGGUCAGGAGAUCGAGACCAUCCUGGCUAACAUGGUGAAACCCCAUCUCUACUAAAAAUACAAAAAAUUAUCCAGGCGUGGUGGCACGUGCCUGUAGUCCCAGCUACUCGGGAGGCUGAGGCAGGAGAAUUGUUUGAAUAUGGGGGGCCAAGGUUGCAGUGAGCCAAGAUCGUGCCACUGCACUCCAGCCGGGGCAACAGAGAGAGACUCCAUCUCAAAAUAAUAAUAAUAAUAAUAAUAAUAAUAAUAAUAAUAAUAAUAAUAAAUGUAUAAAAAGUGAAGUCCCUG